UCUCCGUAGGUGAACCUGCGGAGGGAUCAUUACAGAGUUCAUGCCCUACCGGGUAGAUCUCCCACCCUAUGUUAUUAUUACUUUGUUGCUUUGGCGGGCCGUUAGGCUCCGGCCCGACUACCGGCCCCGGCUGGUAAGCGCCCGCCAGAGGACCAAAACCCUGAAUAUUAGUGUCGUCUGAGUACUAUAUAAUAAUUAAAACUUUCAACAACGGAUCUCUUGGUUCUG
rnacentral:misc_RNA from 1 species